rnacentral:rRNA from 1 species
AGUGAACGCUGGCGGUAGGCCUAACACAUGCAAGUCGAACGGCAGCACAGUAAGAGCUUGCUCUUACGGGUGGCGAGUGGCGGACGGGUGAGGAAUACAUCGGAAUCUACUUUUUCGUGGGGGAUAACGUAGGGAAACUUACGCUAAUACAGCAUAUGACCUACGGGUGAAAGCAGGGGAUCUUCGGACCUUGCGCGAUUGAAUGAGCCGGUGUCGGAUUAGCUAGUUGGCGGGGUAAAGGCCCACCAAGGCGACGAUCCGUAGCUGGUCUGAGAGGAUGAUCAGCCACACUGGAACUGAGACACGGUCCAGACUCCUACGGGAGGCAGCAGUGGGGAAUAUUGGACAAUGGGCGCAAGCCUGAUCCAGCCAUACCGCGUGGGUGAAGAAGGCCUUCGGAUUGUAAAGCCCUUUUGUUAGGAAAGAAAAGCAGCAGGUUAAUACCCCGCUGUUCUGACGGUACCCAAAGAAUAAGCACCGGCUAACUUCGUG